GACGUAGGGCGCGAGCGUUGUCCGGAUUUAUUGGGCGUAAAGAGCUCGUAGGCGGCUUGUCGCGUCGGCCGUGAAAACCUGUGGCUCAACCACAGGCUUGCGGCCGAUACGGGCAGGCUCGAGUUCGGUAGGGGAGACUGGAAUUCCUGGUGUAGCGGUGAAAUGCGCAGAUAUCAGGAGGAACACCGGUGGCGAAGGCGGGUCUCUGGGCCGAUACUGACGCUGAGGAGCGAAAGCGUGGGGAGCGAACAGG
rnacentral:rRNA from 1 species